CCUCACAUAAUUUCCACCCUGCUUGCUGGCUGGCCGGUCCUUGCUUUCCAAUUUUGCUUUCGUUUAUCGCGCGCCGUUUUUGUUACUCUCGCAUCUAAUGCGAAACGCUCUAUUUACGUUUUAAUGGGCCUCUAAACAAGUGCACUAGCAGUUGGAGCAGUUUGGUCGAGUGGUUAGUGUACUGGACAGAAGAGCCACGGAUAUAACCAAUUUCCCCUGCAGUAAAGAGAGUGCGAGAGCGCGCGUGGGAAAAUGCGGCGGGAGAAGAAUUGUUCCUCACGUGAGAGAGAAUGUAAUUUGAGUGAGGGGAAAAUUCAGAACUCUGCGCUCAUCACCACCUGCUAAAAUUCUCAUGUUUACCUCGGCAAAACAACGGACCAGAAUCAGAACCAAAAAUCGCGUACAGAGCAUCAAGAGCAUACAGGAGAACCGCCGAACAAAAAAAAUAUCCCAAACAUUGAUUUCCCGUCCCAUGGAUGGUUGGGUUCCGUUAGUUUUGUA